rnacentral:rRNA from 1 species
GUGGGGAAUUUUGGACAAUGGGCGAAAGCCUGAUCCAGCCAUGCCGCGUGCAGGAUGAAGGCCUUCGGGUUGUAAACUGCUUUUGUACGGAACGAAAAGACUCCUUCUAAUAAAGGGGGUCCAUGACGGUACCGUAAGAAUAAGCACCGACUAACUACGUGCCAGCAGCCGCGGUAAUACGUAGGGUGCAAGCGUUAAUCGGAAUUACUGGGCGUAAAGCGUGCGCAGGCGGUUAUAUAAGACAGAUGUGAAAUCCCCGGGCUCAACCUGGGAACUGCAUUUGUGACUGUAUAGCUAGAGUACGGUAGAGGGGGAUGGAAUUCCGCGUGUAGCAGUGAAAUGCGUAGAUAUGCGGAGGAACACCGAUGGCGAAGGCAAUCCCCUGGACCUGUACUGACGCUCAUGCACGAAAGCGUGGGGAGCAAACAGGAUUAGAUACCCUUGUAGUCC